UAGGGAAUCUUCGGCAAUGGACGAAAGUCUGACCGAGCAACGCCGCGUGAGUGAAGAAGGUUUUCGGAUCGUAAAACUCUGUUGUUAGAGAAGAACAAGGACGUUAGUAACUGAACGUCCCCUGACGGUAUCUAACCAGAAAGCCACGGCUAACUACGUGCCAGCAGCCGCGGUAAUACGUAGGUGGCAAGCGUUGUCCGGAUUUAUUGGGCGUAAAGCGAGCGCAGGCGGUUUCUUAAGUCUGAUGUGAAAGCCCCCGGCUCAACCGGGGAGGGUCAUUGGAAACUGGGAGACUUGAGUGCAGGAGAGGAGAGUGGAAUUCCGUGUGUAGCGGUGAAAUGCGUAGAUAUAUGGAGGAACACCAGUGGCGAAGGCGGCUCUCUGGUCUGUAACUGACGCUGAGGCUCGAAAGCGUGGGGAGCAAACAG
rnacentral:rRNA from 1 species